GGCUGCAGUGGGGAAUAUUGCACAAUGGGCGCAAGCCUGAUGCAGCAACGCCGCGUGAGGGACGAAGGCCUUCGGGUUGUAAACCUCUUUUAGUAGGGAAGAAGCGAAAGUGACGGUACCUGCAGAAAAAGCACCGGCUAACUACGUGCCAGCAGCCGCGGUAAUACGUAGGGUGCAAGCGUUAUCCGGAAUUAUUGGGCGUAAAGAGCUCGUAGGCGGUUUGUCGCGUCUGCUGUGAAAACUGGAGGCUCAACCUCCAGCCUGCAGUGGGUACGGGCAGACUAGAGUGCGGUAGGGGAGAUUGGAAUUCCUGGUGUAGCGGUGGAAUGCGCAGAUAUCAGGAGGAACACCGAUGGCGAAGGCAGAUCUCUGGGCCGUAACUGACGCUGAGGAGCGAAAGCAUGGGGAGCGAACAGGAUUAGAUACCCUGGUAGUCCAUGCCGUAAACGUUGGGAACUAGAUGUAGGGACCAUUCCACGGUUUCUGUGUCGCAGCUAACGCAUUAAGUUCCCCGCCUGGGGAGUACGGCCGCAAGGCUAAAACUCAAAGGAAUUGACGGGGGCCCGCACAAGCGGCGGAGCAUGCGGAUUAAUUCGAUGCAACGCGAAGAACCUUACCAAGGCUUGACAUAUACGAGAACGGGCCAGAAAUGGUCAACUCUUUGGACACUCGUAAACAGGUGGUGCAUGGUUGUCGUCAGCUCGUGUCGUGAGA
rnacentral:rRNA from 1 species